rnacentral:rRNA from 1 species
GCCAUCCUUGGGAUACCACCCUUGUAGUACUGGGACUCUAACCAUAGGCCAUGAAUCUGGUCUUGGGACACUGUCAGGUGGGCAGUUUGACUGGGGCGGGCGCCUCCCAAAAGGUAACGGAGGCGCUAAAAGGUUCUCUCAGUACGGUCGGAAAUCGUACGUAGAGGGUAAAGGCAAAAGAGAGCUUGAUUGCAAGACAUACAGGUCGAGCAAGGAUGAAAAUCGGACUUAGUGAUCCGGUGGUUCUGCGUGGAAGGGCCAUCGCUCAACGGAUAAAAGCUACCCUGGGGAUAA